rnacentral:rRNA from 1 species
AUUGAACGCUGGCGGCAGGCCUAACACAUGCAAGUCGAACGAGUGGCGGACGGGUGAGUAAUGUCGGGGAAACUGCCCGAUGGAGGGGGAUAACAACUGGAAACGGUAGCUAAUACCGCAUACCAUCGGAUGUGCCCAGAGGGGAUUAGCGAGUAGGGGGGGUAAAGGCCCACCUAGGCGACGAUCCCUAGCUGGACUGGGAGUAUGACCAGCCACACUGGAACUGAGACACGGUCCAGACUCCUACGGGAGGCAGCAGUGGGGAAUAUUGCACAAUGGGCGCAGUCCUGAUGCAGCCAGGCCGGGUGUAGGAAGAAGGCCUUCGGGUGGUAAAGUACGUUCAGCGGGGAGGCGUUACCCGCAGAAGAAGCACCGGCUAACUCCGUGCCAGCAGCCGCGGUAAUUC